rnacentral:rRNA from 1 species
ACGGAAGGCAGCAGUGAGGAAUAUUGGUCAAUGGACGCAAGUCUGAACCAGCCAUGCCGCGUGCAGGAAUAAGGCCCUAUGGGUCGUAAACUGCUUUUGUGGUGGAGCAAUAAGUCGUACGUGUACGGCGAUGAGAGUACACCACGAAUAAGCAUCGGCUAACUCCGUGCCAGCAGCCGCGGUAAUACGGAGGAUGCAAGCGUUAUCCGGAUUUAUUGGGUUUAAAGGGUGCGUAGGCUGUGGUCCAAGUCAGGGGUGAAAGCCCGGAGCUCAACUCCGGAACUGCCUUUGAUACUGGAUUGCUGGAAUACGGAUGCCGUGGGAGGAAUGAGUAGUGUAGCGGUGAAAUGCAUAGAUAUUACUCAGAACACCGAUUGCGAAGGCAUCUCACGAAUCCGUCAUUGACGCUGAGGCACGAAAGCGUGGGGAUCAAACAGGAUUAGAUACCCUGGUA